rnacentral:misc_RNA from 1 species
GGGUAUAAGGGACAGGUGAAUCAUCGAAUCUUUGAACGCACAUUGCGCUCCCUGGUAUUCCGGGGAGCAUGCCUGUUCGAGCGUCAUUAUCAACCUUCAAGCCCAGCUUGGUAUUGGGUGUCGUCCCUCCGGACGUGCCUUAAACUCCUCGGCGGCGGUCUCAUAACCACAAGCGUAGUAGAAUUUCUUUUAAGCUUUCUUGGUUUUGGGCUGCUCUGCCUCGAGAACCCUCUCAUUUUAAGGUUGACCUCGGAUCAGGUAGGGAUACCCGCUGAACUUAAGCAUAUCAAUAAGCGGAGG